rnacentral:rRNA from 1 species
CGUAGCCGCGGUAAUACGUAGGGUGCGAGCGUUAAUCGGAAUUACUGGGCGUAAAGCGUGCGCAGGCGGUUCGUUAAGACAGAUGUGAAAUCCCCGGGCUUAACCUGGGAACUGCAUUUGUGACUGGCGAGCUAGAGUAUGGCAGAGGGGGGUAGAAUUCCACGUGUAGCAGUGAAAUGCGUAGAGAUGUGGAGGAAUACCGAUGGCGAAGGCAGCCCCCUGGGCCAAUACUGACGCUCAUGCACGAAAGCGUGGGGAGCAAACAGGAUUAGAUACCCCGGUAGUCCCUGUCUCUUAUACA